AUACUUACCUGGCAGGGGANACACCAUGAUCAUGAAGGUGGUUUUCCCAGGGUGAGGCUCAUCCAUUGCACUCCGGGUGUGCUGACCUCUGCGAUUUCCCCAAAUGCGGGAAACUCGACUGCAUAAUUUGUGGUAGUGGGGGACUGCGUUCGCGCUUUCCACUG
ensembl:snRNA U1 U1 spliceosomal RNA